rnacentral:misc_RNA from 1 species
CGCAAGCCGAGCCGCGAAGGGCGGGUUGAAGAAAAGUAUAUGCUAUGUAUGAUGACGAUGCCUGAUAUGUAAGUUACUGUUAACCUGAACGUGGUGCAUGAUGGGGUCGUGGAUGCAUGUGCAGAUAUGCAUGUAUGUAUAUAUGUACGUACGUCAUUUGAGCGUGAGGAGGUGCAGGAUACAUGACACGAGAGCCGGAUAUAGUGAGG